AUGCAUUUGCGGCCCUAUGUGAAGCCCAUGCAGGUGGUGCCAUUGUUAUGCCAUCUUUCCUGCCCGUAGGCACCCCAUUUACCCCCAAGGCCAAGCUCAACGGCCGCCAUGGGGGCCCCCAGGCUCCGGGACAAGUCAGGGCUGCCUGCUGCCCCUGCACUCACUGGGGGAAUGUCUGUUGUCCCUGCCCCGAGAGGCCUGGGCCUGGCUGCUGGCUCCCUGAGGAGGGCCUGUGUCCAGCCCAGCUGGGUUCUGCGGUACAGGCUGCCGGGCAGGGACUCGAGUGCAGGAGGCCCAGGCCCGGGGUCCAGGGCCGGGGUCCUCAGUGAGCUUCUGUUUCCUCCUCAGCUCUUCUGAGUACUGGAGGAAUCACUCCAAUCAUAGUCUCUAAAGGCCUUGGUGGCCUUGAAGGCUGUCUUGCAGUUUCUGUGGGUGGGCUUGCAAAUGUUCCCAGCACGGGUGAAGAUGGUGACCUCAGGGUCACCAUCUCAGGACGGAAUGGUCAAGAUGGAGAGAGGACCCUGGGGACUCCCUGGGCUGUCAGACCCUGGACAGACCCCCCGUUUGGCCCUCCACUCCGUGGCUGACCCUCUCGGGCCUGGGCCAGCUGUGACACGAGGGGCUGUUCCUUCUGGCUCUGCGUUCAGCGUGAAGUGAGGCAUCACAAAGAGAGGAGGAGCCCGCACUUGUCCUGACAAUUCCUGCCCCAACAGGAAACAGGCCCCAGCACAAGCCACCUGGCCUCGGUCCCAGUCCGGGCACCCGGGUUCACGCGCUGGGCUGCCCGGUCCCAGGGUGUGGAACCGAUUUAUUCGGUAGCUUUGCCGCUGAUUAGUUGCAGGUGAGUGCACGGCACGUGGUUUGUGCUGUAACAAUAUUUUAGGACAAUUAGAUUGAAACCACAUUGCUGGCGGCCCCACUGGCGGCUGGCCGCGGCGCUGCACUCUCUCUGCCCUUUGUGGCUCCCGGCUGGCCGGGCCACCCCCACCCCUCCUGGGACCUCCCCAUCCUCACCCCCACCGGGCUCCAGACCCUCCUUCUGACCUCCAGCUGACCUCGGCCGUCAGUUGUUCCAGAAAACAGCUGCUGGGAGAUUUCCCAGGGCAGGUGGGGAGGGGGUGACCUGGGGGACCCAUGUGGGAUUUUGAGGAUGGACGACCCCCAUGACAGUCUCUGCACGCCCCUGUCUCUACCCUCAAGGAAGGGCCCACAAGCACCCGCUCCUCGGCCAACAGCCGCUCUGCGUCCACUGCAUGCUGUCGGUGAUCCCCGAGUGAGAGGGGCCAGCCAAGGCGAGAUGCUCUGGGCCCAGCUCAACCACCGAGGGCUCGGUCCAGGGCUCCCUCGGCCCGGGCGCCAGCGCCACCCAGAAUCCCCGCAGGGGGAGUCGGGCCUUGCACCUGCUGCACGGGGGCUGAAGGCAGCCGGCUCCCGCCGAAAAAGCAAGGCCUCGCGGGCUGCCACUCACAGUGCUCCCUCCCACCUGGGGCGGGCGCGUGGCUCAGCGUGACCAAUCAGAGGAGGCCCUGCGCCGAUCACGUGACGGGGUUUGACAGCGCUGGGCCAAUCAGCCUUCUCAGCAGUGGGACUCUGGUGCCAGCAGAGGGCGCUGUGGUCUUUGGUGCGCCCGGUGGGGAUGGGGCUAAGGGCGAGGGUGGAGGUCAGGGUCAGGGUCAAGGUCGGGGUCGGGGUCUGGGUCAGGACUGGGCUCGUGGGCUCCCCUCCUCGGGCUGAGGAUGACGAGGAGGGCCCGGUGCAGGGCCCGUGGCCUACUCCCAUCGGAGCCCUCAAGUGCGGCUUCCGUUUCCGCGCAGGCGGCGGUUGCCUCCCGGGCUGUGCCGGGGACUCGGUGCCGGUGAAGGAGGGUUGAGCGGGGCCGCAGGCGGCAGGCGUCCACCUGGGGAGCCCACUCUCCGCUGUGGUCCGCCGGCCGCAGGCGGCAGGCGUCCACCUGGGGAGCCCGCUCUCCGCUGUGGUCCGCCUGCCGCAGCCGGCGCCCCUGAGAAGCGCAGGUGCGGGCUGGUUUCCAGGCCGGCCUGAGGAACCGGGGCCGACCCAUCACGGGGCUUCUUCCUACGCGAGACCCUGUGCCGUGCGCCCCACGGGGAAGUCCAGAUUGGAGCCCUGGCUCCGGCCCCCCACCCUGCUGCAGGCCGGAGGACGUCUCCCCAGGGGUCCCCACCUCGGCCUGCUCACAGGACUGUGCUGAGCCCAGCUGCUCUGUGAGAUGAAGAUAAGAAGUCACAGACGUGAAGGGCCUGCCUGGGGCAGCCUGGCUUCCCUGAGAGGGCUGCACCUGGCUCCCUCCUCCCUCUCACCAGCAGCCUGCAGGUCGACUUUGGUUUCUAGGACUUUGAGUUCUCUCCUGAUCGUGGCAGAGUCCUCAGAUCACUGGUACAGACAAGACUGGCACAGGGACCUGCUCAGCUCAGCCUGUGCCCUCCGAAGGAGGGAGGUUGGGGGCCUCAGCGGCCACCCUGUCCA